rnacentral:rRNA from 1 species
UACGUAGGUGGCAAGCGUUGUCCGGAAUUAUUGGGCGUAAAGCGCGCGCAGGCGGUUUCUUAAGUCUGAUGUGAAAGCCCACGGCUCAACCGUGGAGGGUCAUUGGAAACUGGGGAGCUUGAGUGCAGGAGAGAAGAGUGGAAUUCCACGUGUAGCGGUGAAAUGCGUAGAGAUGUGGAGGAACACCAGUGGCGAAGGCGACUCUGUGGCCAGUAACUGACACUGAGGCGCGAAAGCGUGGGGAGCAAACAGG